rnacentral:rRNA from 1 species
UACAGAGGUCCCAAGCGUUGUUCGGAUUUACUGGGCGUAAAGCGUGUGUAGGCGGCUUCGCAAGUUGGAUGUGAAAUCCCACGGCUCAACCGUGGACGUGCAUCCAAAACUGCGUCGCUAGAGUCUCGGAGAGGAAGGUGGAAUGCUUGGUGUAGAGGUGAAAUUCGUAGAUAUCAAGCAGAACACCUGCGGCGAAGGCGGCCUUCUGGACGAUGACUGACGCUGAGACACGAAAGCGUGGGGAGCAAACAGG